GGAGAAGGGGAUACAGGGACAGAGGGACCGAAGGGGACAGAGGGAUGCAAGAGGGUGGACAAGAGCAGACUGGGACAGAGGGACCGAAGGGGACAGAGGGAUGCAAGAGGGUGGACAGAUGGACAAGAACAGGCUGGUACAUGGGGACAGGGACAGAGGGACCGAAGGGGACAGAGGGAUGCAAGAGGAUGGACAGAUGGACAAGAACAGGCUGGGACAGAGGGACCGAAGGGGACAGAGGGAUGCAAGAGGGUGGACAGAUGGACAAGAACAGGUACAGUGGGGACAGGCGGACAGAAGGGGGUGGAACAGAUGGAAGCAGACUGAGGGACACGGCCAUGGGACAUCCACAGACAGACGGACCCUAACGGGGACCCGGCACCAUCCAGGCCACUUCCUUGUCCCGCUCUGGGUGCCCCCCCAAACUCCCGGCU